AUGGGGUCGGGAUUAUUCCAUAGGGAAUGGGAUCGGGAUCGUCCCAUGGGAACAGGAUCGGGAUCGUCCCACAGGAAUGGGAUCGGGAUCGUCCCACGGGAAUGGGAUCGGGAUCGUCCCAUGGGAAUGGGAUCGGGAUCAUCCAACGGGAAUGGGAUCAGGACCAUCCCGCGGGAACAGGAUCGGGAUCAUCCCGUGGGAAUGGGAUCGGGAUCGUCCCGUGGGAACGGGAUUGGGAUGGUCCCACGGGGAACGGGAUCGGGAUCAUCCAACGGGAAUGGGAUUGGGAUGGUCCCACAGGGAAUGGGAUCGGGAUCGUCCCAUGGGAACGGGAUCGGGAUCGUCCCACGGGAAUGGGAUCGGGAUUAUUCCAUAGGGAAUGGGAUCGGGAUCGUCCCAGGGGGAACGGGAUCGGGAUCAUCCAACGAGAACAGGAUCGGGAUCGGGAUGGUCCCACAGGGAAUGGGAUCGGGAUCAUCCAACGGGAAUGGGAUCAGGACCAUCCCGCGGGAACAGGAUCGGGAUCAUCCCGUGGGAAUGGGAUCGGGAUCGUCCCGUGGGAACGGGAUUGGGAUGGUCCCACGGGGAACGGGAUCGGGAUCAUCCAACGGGAAUGGGAUUGGGAUGGUCCCACAGGGAAUGGGAUCGGGAUCGUCCCAUGGGAAUGGGAUCGGGAUCAUCCAAUGGGAUCGGGAUCAGGAUGGUCCCACAGGGAAUGAGAUCGGGAUGGUCCCACAGGGAAUGGGAUCGGGAUCGUCCCAUGGGAAUGGGAUCAGGAUCAUCCAAUGGGAAUGGGAUUGAGACCAUCCCGUGGGAACAGGAUCGGGAUCAUCCCAUGGGAAUGGGCUUGGGAUCGUCCCAUGGGAAUGGGAUUGGGAUGGGAUUGGAUUGAGAUGGAAUUUUGCACUGGGAUGGGAUUGGGAUUUGGGAUGGGAUAUGGAAUGGAUUUGGGAUCGGGAUGGGAUUUGGGGUGGGAAUAGGAUUGGGAUGUGAUUCCCAUCCCAUUCCCACCGAGAUCCCCCAAAUCCCCCUUUGAUGAAAUCCCAGAAUUCCAGCUCCUCCUCCCAUCCAGACCCCUUUUCCCAAACUUAGGAAUCUCAAAUCCUGAAAUUCCUUUCACACCAGACUCGGCAUUCCUGGGAUUCUUUUGGGAUAUUUGGGAAUCCCCACGGCCGUGACUUCCCCAGAAUCUGGGAUUUGGCCUCAAAAUCCCAAAUAAACACUGGGAUUUCUUCCCAAAUUCCCAGUGAGAAUUCCCAAAUGGGGAUCCUGCACCCCCAAAUCUGUGACCCCAAACCAGCACCCCAAAAAGAGGAAUCUGCACCCUAAAAUUAGCACCCAAAAAAGGGAUCCUGCACCCCUAAACCCCAAAAAAAGGAUCUGGCAUCCCCAAAUCUGUACCCUCAGAAAGGGAGGUCUGGUACCUCCAAAUCAGCACCCCAAAAAGGGGAUCCUGCACCCCAAAUCGGGAUCUGGCACCCCCAAAUCUGCACCCCAGAAGGAAUCCUGGCACUCCAAAGGGGAUCUGGCACCCCCGAAUCUGCACCCCAGAAGGGGGAUCCAGCACCCCAAAAAGAGGAUCCUGCACCCUAAAACUGGCACCACAAAAAGGAAUCCUGCACCCCCAAAUCUGUGACCCCAAAUCAGCACCCCAGAAAAAGGAUCUGGCAUCCCCAAAUCCGUACCCUCAGAACGGAAGGUUUGGUACCCCCAAAUCAGCACCCCAAAAGGGGAUCCUGGCACCCCAAAAAGGGUCUGACCCUCCCAAAAUCUGCAUCUCCAAAAAAGGGAUCCUGCACCCCCAAAUCUGCACCCCUGAAUCCCACUGCACCCCAGGGGGGCUCUGCACUCAUGGAACGGGAUUCACAGAUCCCUGUGCUGCAUCCUUUUUCCAGAUCCCAAUCCAUCCCAGAUGCCUGUCCUGGAUCCUGAUCCAUCUGGAUCCCUGUCCCAGAUCCCUGUCCCAGAUCCCGAUCCAUCCAGGAUCCAGAUCCACCCCAGAUCCCUGUCCUGGACCCCAAUCAAUCCUGGGUCCCUGUCCAUCCCGGAUCCCUGUCCAGGAUCCUGAUCCAUCCUGGGUCCCGGACCACUCUGAAUCCCCUUCCAUACUGGAUCCUUGUCCCGGAUCCCGAUCCAUCUCAGAUCCCUGUCCUGGAUCCCAAUCCAUUCUGGAUCUUUGCCUGCAUCCAGAUCCAUCCCAGAUCCCAAUCCAUCCCAGAUCCCUGUCCACCCUGGAUUCCCAUCCAUCCUGGAUCCCGAUCCAUCCUGGACCUUGUCCAGAUCUCCAUCCACCCUGGAUCCUUGCCUGUCCUGGAUCUGGAUCCAGAUCCAUCCCAGAUCCCUGUUCUGGAUCCCAGUCCAUCCUGGAUCCAGAUCCAUCCCAGAUCCCUGUCCUGGAUCCUUGUAAAGACCCCCAUCCACCCUGGAUCCUUGCCUGUUCCGGAUCCCAAUCCAUCCCAGAUCCCCAUCCCAAAUUCCCAUCUCUCCUGGAUCUCUUCUCCUCCCUCAUCCAUCCUCGAUCCCACUUUUUGUUCCACAUUCCCGUUUGUCCAACAUUCCCCUCUCUCCUGGAUUCCUCCUCUGCCCUGGAUCCCUUUCCAGGGAUCCUGCUCCAGCCUGGAUCCUUCUCUGGCCUGGAUUCCAUUCCCUAAAUCCCUUCCCAAAUUCAUUCCCAUUCCCAAAUCCAUUCCCUGACCACCACAUUCCAAGCCCUGAAAUCCCAGAAUGAGGAACCAUUCCAAACCUUUCCCUAAAUCCUUUCCCUUCCCUAAAUCCCAUCCCAAAAUCUUUUCCCUUCCCUUCUUUUCCUGAAUCCAUUCCCUAAAUCCCUUCCCUUCCCUAAAUUCCUUCCCGAAUUCCAUUCCUUUCUCAAAUCCCUCCCCUUCUCCCUUUCCCCCUUUCCUUUUCCCUCUUUUCUUUUUUCCCUUUCCCUUUUUUUCCUUUCCCCCCCCCCCUUUUUCCCUUUCCCCUUUUCCUUUCCCUCCCUUUCCCCCCCCUUUUUUCCUUUCCCCCUUUUUUCCUUUUCCCACUUCCCCCCUUUUUACCGGGGGGGGGGGGGGGGGGGGGGGGGGGGGGGGGGGGGGGGGGGGGGGGGGGGGGGGGGGGGGGGGGGGGGGGGGGGGGGGGGGGGGGGGGGGGGGGGGGGGGGGGGGGGGGGGGGGG
rnacentral:lncRNA from 1 species